rnacentral:tRNA from 1 species
GCCCGGAUGGCGGAAUAGGUAGACGCGCUGGUCUCAAAAACCAGUAGGUUAAUUCCUGUACCGGUUCGAUUCCGGUUCCGGGUACAA